rnacentral:rRNA from 1 species
UACGUAGGGUGCGAGCGUUGUCCGGAAUUAUUGGGCGUAAAGGGCUCGUAGGCGGUUUGUCGCGUCGGGAGUGAAAAGCUGGGGCUUAACCCCAGUCCUGCUUCCGAUACGGGUGGACUAGAGGUAGGUAGGGGAGAACGGAAUUCCUGGUGUAGCGGUGAAAUGCGCAGAUAUCAGGAGGAACACCGGUGGCGAAGGCGGUUCUCUGGGCCUUACCUGACGCUGAGGAGCGAAAGCAUGGGGAGCAAACAGG